UUUUCAUGUCUCCAAUGCAUCUAUUUCAUGAAAUUACAGGUGCUAAACUGCUAAUGAGGUAAACUAGCAAUUGAGACAUAGCUGCUGCCCUUAUCCACAUGGUAGAUAUAAAAUAACAGUACUGUUGGUGUGAGAUAUUUCAGCAAAUUAAAAUUGGGGACAACUAAACCCAAUCACAACUUACAAAGCUUGAGAGAGAUAGAGAGGUUGAUGAUUCACAUUCAGAGUUGCAGAGUAUGGAAUGAGUAUAUAGAUCAAAGUUAAGUGAAGAAGAUGAAGAAACAUAAUUUGGAAAAAGGUGCUGGAAGAAGAUUCAGUAAUAAAUUAAAGUUGUCCGGGUUGUUGUUUCUAAAGACUCAGAAGAUGAGAAAGAAGAAAAAACAGACUGUUUAUUUAGAUGAUUACGGUACGAGUGGAAUCGGAAAAGUUAAUAAUCGGAUCAAGAGUGUUUUGAGUGAAGGUAUCUUUAAAUCGACCUUAAAGAAAAGUUGGGAUCUCCUCAUAAGUCUCACUUUCUGGAACAAGCUCUGGAAGAGGAUGACUGGUGCAAAGAAUUUCGAAAGACCAAAAUCCAGGUAGGAACGGCAGGUCGAUUGGAAACUCGUGUAUGACAAGCUUUUGGAGCAAAACAAUUCCAAAAACUAGGAGUGUAUGCUAGGAGUGCAACAAUCCCUCUAACCUUAGUUUGCAUCCCGAUCUCUCAUAUGUGGGCUUCAAUAGGAAAACUGCUUAGUUUCACAGGUCAAGACACUUUAAUCUCACUUGAAACGGGCAAAUAUGCGACAUGCUUGAUCCUUGGUUGUGCAACAAUCCCUCUAACCUUGUUUGCAUCUCGAUCUCUCUUAUGUGACCUUCUGUCAAGACCCUUUAAUCUCACUUGAAACGGGCAAAUAUGCGGCAUGCUUGAUCCUUGCAUUAUUCGCUUAUGCAGCUCUCCAGUCGUUAAUGAGAAAUUUUCAAUCUUAGUGUAGAAUCAUUCCCAUGCUAUUAAGUACUUCUAUAGCAGUAUGUAUCCGCAUACCUCUAUGUUGGGUUGUAGUUUAUAAAUCUGGUGGUGCUGCAGGUCAAUCAACUAAUAGAUGGAACUAUCAACUAGCAGGAAUGUACAUGAGAGUGCUAGUAAUGGUUUUUGAAGAGAACUAGUGUAACUGGUGGUCCUAUUUUUCGGAACUUACUUUUAUCAUUUUCAUAUGGGUUUUACCCAAGAACGGGAAGAUAAUCUCGCUUGCUGACCUGAAGGAUUUGUAGAUGAACGCUAUAAAAACGCUACCUUGUCUAUUGCCUGUGGAAUAUAUGAGAACUGGAAGCUAAAUGGAAAAGACAUCACUAUCCACCCCUCGAUACAAAUGAAAUGCCCCAGCAGAUAAACCAACCAUAAGGUACUUUCUGAUCGCCAUAUCAAGAGCAGAAGCCAUCAGAAAGCCAAACACACAAUGGGAGGAAAAACUUGUCGCUACAAACCUGAAAUGGCACGGAUGCAAAGUUACAAAAUCAGGAGUGGCAAGAGUUGUUGAACCCUUGGGCACGAUAAAAGAUGAGAACAGCUCCAAUUGCGGGAUGUUCGAAUUUCAGCCGCCUUUUGAUUAGGAAGAUUCCAGUGCAACGGCUUAGUGAAAGUGGAUGUUUACCAUACGAUGUUGGUGACACAGUUACUCAAAAAACAAUAUCAUGAGGAUACAUGUUAUUAAGAAGAGUGGGGUUCUUGAAUUUGUGCACAAAUUCCUGUUUGUCUGGUGUGCCUGCACUAGGGUCACAAGAAAGAAUCGAUACCUUACUAAUAUAGGAUAUCUGGCAUAAACAUGAGGGCUCAUCUAUGUUUCCACGGCCAAUUGUAAGAUGGUAGAAGUAAAGCUCCAAGCAGGAUCUUAAUUACCACACAUUUUUUGUUGUUUGCUAAAUGUUUGUAAACUUCCGGCUCAAACAGUUGAACAGGAAAGGCUAUGAAAUAUGGGUUUGUCUAGCCGGUGUACAAAAUCUGACUUGUUGAAUAGUAGCUUGUUUUAAGCCUUGUAUGCAAUAUAUAUAUCUAUUAUUAGCUUGCUG